UUCCGGUUGAUCCUGCCGGACCCGACUGCUAUUUGGGUGAGAAUAAGCCAUGCGAGUUGAAUGGGAUACCUAAAGUUCCCAUAGCAAACUGCUCAGUAACACAUGAUCAACUUACCCUAUAGAGAAAAAUAACCUCGGGAAACUGAGGAUAAUGUUUCACAAUUGAAUUGGCUUGGAAAAGUUUUUCAAUGAAAAGGAUAAAAAAAAUGGUUUUUAUCUGCUAUAGGAUAGGAUCGUGUUCGAUUAUGGUUGUUGGUGAGAUAAUGGCUCACCAAGCCGAUAAUCGAUAGGGGCCGUGAGAGCGGGAGCCCCGAGAUGGGUACUGAGACAACGACCCAGGCCUUACGAGGCGCAGCAGGCGCGGAACCUCCGCAAUACACGAAAGUGUGACGGGGUUACCCAAAGUGUUCAAUAGAACUGUGGUAGGUGAGUAAUGUCCCCUACUAGAAAGGAGAGGGCAAGGCUGGUGCCAGCCGCCGCGGUAAAACCAGCUCUUCAAGUGGUCGGGAUAAUUAUUGGGCUUAAAGUGUCCGUAGCCGGUUUAGUAAGUUCCUGGUAAAAUCGGGUAGCUUAACUAUCUGCAUGCUAGGAAUACUGCUAUACUAGAGGGCGGGAGAGGUCUGAGGUACUACAGGGGUAGGGGUGAAAUCUUAUAAUCCUUGUAGGACCACCAGUGGCGAAGGCGUCAGACUGGAACGCGCCUGACGGUGAGGGACGAAAGCCAGGGGAGCGAACCGGAUUAGAUACCCGGGUAGUCCUGGCCGUAAACGAUGCAUACUGGGUGAUGGUACGGCCAUGAGCCGUAUCAGUGCCGUAGGGAAACCGUUAAGUGUGCCGCCUGGGAAGUACGGUCGCAAGGCUAAAACUUAAAGGAAUUGGCGGGGGAGCACCACAAGGGGUGAAGCCUGCGGUUCAAUUGGAUUCAACGCCGGAAAUCACUAGUGCGGCCG
rnacentral:rRNA from 1 species